AUUCUCUCUGGUAAGAACUAUGGUGUUGGCUGUUUAUUUGUAAUAUCGGGUAGAAUACCUUAGUAGUGCUAGUCAUAUAUUUAUCUGGACAAGGGGAUAAAGAUAUAUGUUAGUUCUUGGAAGAGGUGACACAGGGAUAUUACAUUCACUAUUAAAACACAACGCAGAGUGGAUUUCUCUCAAAAGGAUACCAAUUGGAAGUAUUGGUGGUGAGAGAAGGAUUAUAAAACAUCUAUGACUACUUCAGCAGUGAUUUUCGGGUAGUCCGUGAUCUAAGUGAACCAGGAGUAGCGGGGGUCUUGAUUCUCUGCAGGGGUACUGGGUCUGAAAGGGAUGCAAGGUUGAGCGGGAGUGCACUCUGACUGCAAAUGGUUACGUAGUUUCCUCUCCAUAAACUAUGCAUAAACUAUGCCAGAUGAGAGCGAGCGAAUCUAAGAUAGUCACUGCACCCGUUAAAAUGAACAAACAGGAAUCUCGGCAAAAACGCCCGUGCCGAGCACUAGAAGUGCUGUAGGUGAUCGGUGCUCAAGGUAUCCACAAGAGGCAAUGUUAAAGAAUGUACAGGGAAACGAGUAACGAAACAUCAGUAACAGCCUGGCACAACAGGGUACCCCAGUGUAAGAGGGGCAAGGAAGGUAAUAAAUUGUUCCCAAAGUAGAGAAAAAGUAGAGAAAUAGAAGCAUCAUAUAAUGCAGCCCUAGAACCCAGGUGAUAGGAGGGG